UUUAAACUUUACAAGAAAUUCUCGUGUUUGUAAAUUUAAUUCAGAAUUUAACCUCGAAUUUAAUGUGAUACUUGGUGUUUGUAUGUAAUUUUGUAUACUCGUUUAUACAAGUAAAGUUUGUAUGACAAUAACAAGUAAUAUUAACUACACUAAUGCAUUGUCUGCCUUAACUUCUUGAGAGGAAGUAAACUUUACUUAUGCGAGCAAAUCUGGCAACACUCUCCAAACUCGGUGGGUGACGUCACAGGGAGUUUGCGCUCCAAACAAACCAGGACUUUUUGAAUGGCGGCUGAGUUUGAGAGGGACAUACAGACAACUGUUUGAAUUUUUUUAAUAGGACAAUUGUGACUGUGGCUGCGAAGAUCAUUCUAAGAAAUUGACUUGAUCAGCAAGUUGGUCUUAACAGCUGGUGCAGGGUGCUCACAACAUGAGAUGGAUGUGUAAAACAUUAGAGAUGGAAAGAAUGGACUUGCUCAAGGAAAUAAUGAAGAAAAACAAUGACAAGAUAAUUCGUCAAAAAAUUGAGAAAUCCUUCUCCUAUCGAAGACUAGAAGUGGCCAAGCAAUGCUCUGCUGUCCAAGACUUCAUUG